rnacentral:lncRNA from 1 species
AAGUCAAAGAAGGUCAAAAUGGAGACAGAACAUACUUCACUGGCCAAAGCAAUAGGUAAGUAACCUGGUCACAAAAAAACCAAACACUUGGUUACAGAUAGAAAAAAACCGGAUCACACCCAAAAUAAAAAGGGAACAUAUAGCCAAGAGAAACCACAUGACCGUAACUGAACUGAACUUAGCUACAUCAGUUGAUCUUACACAAACGGAAUCUAACAGUACCGAGAUCAAGUCCGAAAGCACACAGAUCGCGAAGAUCACCUGAAAGAACAGUUCGCCUGAUGAGCUUCCGCUUUCUCUCCUUCGCAUAGCUCAGCUCACCUUCUUCAUUCUAGAUCUAUCUCCUUCUCUCUCUCUCUCUCUCUCUCUCUACAGGCGUUUCAGCUCUGUGUUCCUACUUUUUUGACGUUGUGAAGAAUUGUUUUAGGUACGGUGGUGGACUCAUGGAGAAGCUACGAAAUGACCAUAUCACCCUCCUCCACUGUCC